rnacentral:misc_RNA from 1 species
GCACGCAGAGCUGUGUUGAAGGACAUACUUUUCAGGUUCCUGACAGUCACUGAGCUAUACGCAAUAAUAAAGUGCGUGAUUCGCGUGUGGAAACCAGUGUCGUGUCCUUACCAGCUUCCUUUUCUGUCCACCUUCCCUCUCUCUUCUACCUCCGUUUCGCUUUUCUUCAGUGCAUGUUAGCGGUUUGCUGGAUUUCCCUUCUCCCUCGCUGUUCAACUGCUAGCAUGAUUUGUUACAUUUUCCACAGCUGUUUAUUCUUGUUUGACUUUUUGUACAAAGUCACUUUAAAUCUGCUGCAGAAAGAAUAAAGCACCUAGCCCUUUGGAUGGACUCCUGCAGGCGUGUGGCUGUCCCUGGCCCACUUUUAAUUCUUUGGAGAUGGCUCUUCUGUGUAAAUCAGCUGCUGGGUGCGUUCGGUCACCUCGUAGGCCAGCCUAGUUUGUAUCAGCAGAACAGUAGUGGACUCGACUCAGGUCGUAAGCCUUAUAUUUCACAGACAAUUAAAUCUUGGCUGCUGUUGAACAAAACUGUAAUAUUUACUUUGUUCUAUACCGAGAAGCACUUUUAAAGUAAAAAAGAAAAAAAAACCAAAUACUACACUUCAAAAAGAAAAUAUGACAAUGAAUCUCUUUUUAUGGAUUCUCUCUGCAUAAGUGGAAACAAUAUGAUUUAAAUCCCCAACACCCCAUCCCCCUUUUCAGACACAGCUGAAGUGAUACAGAUACUGUCUUCUAACACAUAAUCUCCCUCUCUCGGGAGAGGCACCUGCCUGUGCUACAUUCGAUUUAGUUUGUAAGGUUUCAGGCCCCUCCCCGACCCAUGUAAUAUGUAACAAGGAUUAUCAAAUAAUAAGGUCUUGGAUGUGAAGUCUGCUUUACACAAGAAUUCAAGAAAGAUAGGCAGGACUUGAGUAAUUAUGUUACAACUUCAUAUUACUUUCCAAAUGAAUACCCAUUUUCUUCUCAUGUCAACUUCUAGAGAUGGGAUGCUGAGGCAGAGAAAUAUUUUUAUGAGACUCUGGAGUACAUACUAAAAUGUGCUUCCUUAUUAUUUAAGAAUGUGUAAGGUAUGGACCUACAUUUGUUUGCUGGUGGUCAUAAAAUAAAUUCAUAGCCAUUGUGGCCAAUAAGCAAUCUCCUUCACGCUUUAAAAGUUUUUGGUUUAUAAUCCCACCUGGAUUGUAUUUUCACUAUUCUGUAUCACCCUCCUAUUGCAAUAUUUUGGUUCUCAAUCUUAUGUAAAGCAAACCUCAGAAAUGAUCGUUUCCAUAAAAUUGUGCAAUGGCAAAGCCACAGAAUAAUAUUUUGAGUCCAUAUAGCCGUGCAUGCUCAUCUAUAUAGCUCUUAUACAGUUUUCUAGCUGAUUGCUUUGGUAUUUCAAGAAAUAGGAAGCAGUAGCUACCUAUUUUAAUGAAAGGGUACCAUUUCAUAAGAAUUCUAUUUUCACUGAAAAAAUUGGUCUGGCACAUUAUUCAAUGCAAAAGAUUAUAAUAUUACUUUCACGUGUGUUAAUCUGUUUAGUAUAAAACUGCUAGGGUGUCUUAACCAUUAACGCGUUUUGCCACACUACUUUCAAAUGGUGAUCUGAGAUAAUUACGAAGAUUUUGAUGUUAAUCCCACGUUAAAUGAACAACUAUGAAAAUAAUCUUAAAGCAUUAUUACUCCCAUAUACAUGCCAGCAAACCCAAUUGUGGAGAGAACAUGAUUACUUUUUAUCUGACAUUAUCCUAUAAGGAUAUGGCUACAUUUAUUUCUUUUAAAAUUGGAGCAGUUUUCAAUUACUUUUUAACAGAAUUGUUUUCAACACAGCAUUUUGCAGUGCCCAUAAACCAUAGCAACUUUGUCCUGAUCGAUACAUAUUUUUCUGCAUUAUUAUUCAUUAGCCUCUUUGCAAACUCACUAAAAUAGAAUAGUAUUAAAGUAUGAAUAUAUAGAGAACAAUUAUUAGGUUCUACAUAUUUAUUUAGGUAAACCAAUGUUAUUAAAAUUAAAAACAUGUGCCUGGCAUAUAAGUGCUUCUUCAGGAAUUCUUUUUUGGAUGCAUAGUUAUUAUUUUUUAAACAAACUCAGAUUUUCAAACACUGAUUUUCUUCUCUGAACGGGCAUUGCAUUGUUUUAAACAGUAGCUCCUGGAAUAAUGCCACCUUUAGUAUUUUAGACUUUCAAACAACAAUUGGAAUUGGAUAAAUGCUUUCAGCUGGGAGCACUUUCCUAAUACCUUUGUAGGUAAUGGGAUUCUCUAUUUGUGCUGGGUGACAAACGGACAGUGCCCUGGACAGACUGCCUACCCUCUGCAGAAUCUACCAAAAAGUAGAGUUUUCCCAUGAGACUGCUUGUGGUCCAUCUAAAAAUGAAAAAAUAAUCAGAGAAAAUGCGCAAAGCCUUUUCUAACUACAGUUAUGAAAUGAUGGCUUAAAGAGGUAUUUAGAAAAUAAGAGUGGAGUAAUACAGAAACAAAAUCUGAAGAAGAAAGUUUGCUUAGGAGCUGAUGCUCUUUGUCUACAAACAAGAGGGUAAGGAGCUGGAUCCAAUUGAAUUGAAUUGUUUUUGUUUGCUUGUUUGUUUUCUUCCAUUCAGUGCCUUUCAAACUGUUUUUUACUGGAUGAAGAAACUCAACCAAGAAAAUAUAUGUCGAUUCUUGUAUAUGGGACAAUAUUAGCUGCUGUGAUUUUUAAUACUAGCAUAAAAUAUAAGAAUCUUUUUAUUACUGUGAUAUUGUUUUUUCCUAAAUGAAUGCAUAGUGUAACAAUUGGUGUCAAAAAGCAUUGAAUUUUUUUCAGAUGGAUUAAGCUGGAAUAAUAAAGUAUAUCUAUGAGAUGAUUUCUGUAAACUCUGACUUGCUGAGAAAAAAGUGAAAAAGCUUUUUCUGGAAGAAACAUGGCAACUUAACCGUUAUUAAUCUGGACUAAAUAAAACAGGAAACUGCUUCUUUA